GAUGAACGCUAGCGACAGGCUUAACACAUGCAAGUCGAGGGGCAGCGAGGGCGUAGCAAUACGCCUGUCGGCGACCGGCGCACUGGUGAGUAACACGUAUGCGACCUGCCCCCUACAGGGGUAUAACCCGUAGAAAUGCGGACUAAUCCCCCAUAGUCCUGGGUGCUGCAUGGCAUUCAGGGGAAAGGCCAGCCGGUAGGGGAUGGGCAUGCGGCGCAUUAGCUAGUUGGCGGGGCAACGGCCCACCAAGGCGACGAUGCGUAGGGGUUCUGAGAGGAAGGCCCCCCACACUGGGACUGAGACACGGCCCAGACUCCUACGGGAGGCAGCAGUGAGGAAUAUUGGACAAUGGAGGCAACUCUGAUCCAGCCAUGCCGCGUGAAGGACUAAGGCCCUAUGGGCUGUAAACUGCUUUUAUGCGGGAUAAGCGGCCACGUGUGGCCCCUUGCAGGUACCGCAUGAAUAAGGACCGGCUAA
rnacentral:rRNA from 1 species